rnacentral:piRNA from 1 species
CAAUAGGUUAGAGGACCCAGCAGGAGGA